UUGGGAGGAAUAAAUGCAGCCAAGUGCCAGCUGUUCCAGGAUCCCCAUCAACAUCUGGAGCCAGUGGAGCCAUUCUAAUCACCUGUGCUCUGUGAGUCGUCACUUGUUUUCACGGCUGUCACCUGAGGGGGGACGAUGCUGGAUUCAACCCCUUACGCCACAUUUGGAUGUUUCUGCACAGCAGAUGAUAAACGGCUUUGGCUCCUGAGGAUGCGUUAAUUAUAUUUGUCCUCCACAUGAGGGAGUGCUGGUGCCAGUCUCAGCUGACAUAGGGUGAAAGACCUAAUCCUAAUCCCCAAAUCUGCAAGUUUUUGUACUGUAGGAGAUGCAAACUCCAUGCAAAAAGGCCCUUGUUUCAACCAGAUCUUCUUGCUGCAAAGAGUGAGAACACGUUCACAGCCCAUGCUACGAUGGAGAACAUUUUUCCAGAGGCAAGGAAACA